rnacentral:ncRNA from 1 species
ACCGGGAGGGACGCACCGCUGGUGUACCUGUUAUCGUGCCAACGGUAAACGCAGGGUAGCCAAGUGCGGAGUGGAUAACCGCUGAAAGCAUCUAAGUGGGAAGCCCACCUCAAGAUGAGUGCUCUCAUGGGGUUAACCCAGUAAGGUCACGGGAAGAACACCCGUUGAUAGGCUUCAGGUGGAAGUCCAGUGAUGGAUGCAGCCGAGAAGUACUAAUAGACCGAGGGCUUGACCUC